rnacentral:rRNA from 1 species
GACGAACGCCGGCGGCAUGCCUAAUACAUGCAAGUCGAGCGAACAGAUGAAGUGCUUGCGCUUCUGACGUUAGCGGCGAACGGGUGAGUAACACGUAAGGAAUCUACCUAUAAGCGGGGGAUAACAUUCGGAAACGGGUGCUAAUACCGCAUAAUAUCUUCUUCCGCAUGGAAGAAGAUUGAAAGACGGCUCUGCUGUCACUUAUAGAUGACCUUGCGGUGCAUUAGUUAGUUGGUGGGGUAAUGGCCUACCAAGACGAUGAUGCAUAGCCGACCUGAGAGCGUGUACGGCCACAUUGGGACUGAGACACGGGCCAAACUCCUACGGGAGGCAGCAGUAGGGAAUCUUCCGCAAUGGGCGAAAGCCUGACAGAGCAAUGCGGCGUGAGUGAAGAAGGCCUUCGUGUCGUAAAACUCUGUUAUAAGAGAAGAACAAAUUGUAGAGUAACUGCUACAGUCUUGACGGUAUCUUAUCAGAAAGCCACGGCUAACUACGUGCCAGCAGCCGCAGUAA